AAAAAAAAACUAUUUCUCUUCCCUUCUAUUCUCAAUCAUGAGCACCGAAUACGAUUAUCUCUUCAAGCUUCUCCUAAUCGGAGACUCGUCGGUGGGGAAAUCGUGCCUGCUUCUCCGAUUCGCCGACGAUUCUUAUGUGGACAGCUACAUAAGCACCAUUGGAGUGGAUUUCAAAAUCAGAACUGUGGAGUUGGAUGGGAAGACUGUCAAGCUGCAAAUUGUGAGUUCUAU